rnacentral:rRNA from 1 species
AGCGAACGUUAGCGGCGGGCUUAACACAUGCAAGUCGAGCGAGAAAGUGGCUUCGGCCAUCAGUAAAGCGGCGGACGGGUGAGUAACACGUAGGUAAUCUUCCCUUGAGCGGGGGACAACGAGCCGAAAGGCUCGCUAAUACCGCAUAAGUUCCCAGAGUCCUCGGACUUUGGGAGGAAAGCUAGGUCGCAAGAUCCGGCACUCGAGGAGGAGCCUGCGUCGCAUCAGCAGUUGGUGGGGUAAUGCCUACCAAGGCGAAGACGGGUAGCUGGUCUGAGAGGAUGGCCAGCCACAUUGGGACUGAGAGACGGCCCAGACUCCUACGGGAGGCAGCAGUGGGGAAUCUUGCGCAAUGGCCGAAAGGCUGACGCAGCGACGCCGCGGUGGGGGA